GAUAUUUUGGACGUAGCGCUGCCAUAACAAAUACAUUGUUGCCAUAGUGACCGUGUGUUUCUCACAGCCCCAGGAAAACACAACAGUGCGUUACGUGAAAGAAGCAGGACCUCCUAAGUGUUGCUUAAGACUGUAUCAGCAGUGGGAUUUCUUUUUUGUUUUCUUGGUUUAUUUUAGUUCCAUUCUGGCAAGAAUUGGGUUUUCAAGAUGAGCUAAACUGCCCCUGCUCCUUGACAUCUCCUGACCGACGCUGCUGACGUCUGGAUAACGUAACACGUCAAUGAGCGCAGAGCGACGUGCUGCACAGGACUGUGUCCAGCACCGGCUUGUACUUCCAAGAGAGAUUGCGUCUCUGCUCUCCUCCAGCGUACUGAGGUGGAUGUUUCCCAAAUGCAAGAAAUGCCCACGAGUGUUUUCUGUAACACCCUGCAGGUGCUAUAAGCACUUUCUCUGGGUCAGUGGCUUUGAACAACAAAGAAGUGACUCUGAUACAAUACAGGGAUUAUCGCCAGUUACCGAACAGAUUGUGGC
rnacentral:lncRNA from 1 species